CAUCUCCAAGCAAGCUGUUUCUUUACACCUGCUCUGCCAAACUGUGCCGAGUUCAAAGACUCUUCACCCUCUGGGGGUGUCAGGAUCCUCUUUAGAAUCUGAUAGAAGCUGCCACCCUCUCCCCACCUCCACAAUAUGCAUUGACAAAUCAUUUUCCUCAUGAUUCAGAGGAUUCCUAGAUACCUUGGGACGUUUUCAUGGUUUUCCGAGGAACCCAGAAUGAGAUUCCCCCAUGCCCCUCCCAUCACAGAGUUUCCCCCUGAUUGGCUCAAAGAUUUUAUUGUUUGUCAUCUGUCUCCCCUGAUUGGCUCAAAGAUUUCAUUGUUUAUCACUUGCCUUCCCUCUUGGUGAAAUCAAGGAAAGGGAGAGCUUCUUAUGAAAAGGUCGCAUAUGGCACGUCAUACUACCAGAAUGGUGUUAUCUGUGUGACAAGCUACUGUUAAAUACGUAUACAGAGUGAUGGGUGUGUGUGUGUGUGCGCGCACGCGCGCGUGCACCUACCAUAGGGGCAGUAAAUUAGCAUUUGGAAGAAGCUAAUCAGGAACCCACACUCUGGAAGUGGCUACUGAAGAACCUCAAAUACCCAGAUCUAAAUCUACACCUGGGAGUUCUCGUUGUGGCACAGCGAGUUAAGGACCCAGCAUUUUCUCUGUGAGGAUGCAGGUUCCACCCAUGGCCUUGCUCAAUGGAUUAAGGAUACAGUGUUGCCACACGCUGUGGCGUGGGUCCCAGCUGCAGCUCGGAUCUGGUGUUGCUGUGGCUGUGGUGUAGGCCUCAGCUGCAGCUCCGAUUUGACUCUUAGCCUAGGAACUUCCAUAUGCCACAGGUGUGGCUGUAAAAUGAAAAAACUAAAAACAAAUCUACAUCUUGAUUAGCAUAGGUAUCUUAGAAAUAGUAAGGUAUGUGGUUUGAGAACAAGGACCUGCUGUAUAACACAGGGAACUACAUUCAAUAUCUUGUAAUAAACCAUCAUGGAAAAGAAUCUGCAAAAGAAUAUAUGUAUCUGGAUCACUUUGCCGUACACUUGAAGCUAAUACAAUGUUGUACAUCAAUUAUACUUCAAUUUAAAAAGAAAAAGAUCACAAGCUCUUGGCGCCCUCCGCUCAACACUCUAACCUGGAGUUCCGUUUGGCCUCCGACCAUUUCCCCAUCUUCAGGGGUCCGUGGUGUCUGAUCCCUCCAGAAGCUUGGCUGACCCCGCCGAGAGAGUGGCCCUGCAUCUCCGUCAGAAUGAAGCCUGCAUGCAGAGGACCUGUCAGAGUGCCCGCGGACAGAACGGGCCCUUAGCAAGCCUGCGGGAACAGGGUACUGUCCUUGUCCCUGCUUCCUAAUAAAUGAUCAUCCAGCUGGUCAGAUUCCACCUGAGGUUUGCGUUCGCUUCAACAUACCACCUGGCAGUGGGUAGUAAGGAAGGACAGGUAGAGCCCUAACCAUUUUCCCUGGCACACUUCCCGGGCAGCAAGAUCAGCUCAGGGAUGCCCACCAGCUGUCCAAGUCGGAUGAGAUGUAUUCAGGCAUUAACUCGUGUCGUCCGGACUCAGUUGCCCCCUCUCUCUCCUCCUGGCCCUGGCUUCAUUCUUAGGCUCCCUCCUGAUGGCAAGAUGGUGGCAGCAUCUCCUUAUAUUUACUCGGCUUCUGGUUUGGCAUGGAAAGCAAAGAGGCUAUUUUCCUAAGGACUCUAAAAAAAAGUCCCCAAAAGUGAGUCCGAUGGCUAUUUUGACCUGACUGGCAUCAGGUGACCAUCUCUGAUCCAAUCACUGAUGCUGGGGGGGAAAAAAAGGUUCUGACAGGCCCGGCAUGCGUCAUACGCCACUCUGGGCAGGGGUGUCAGCUCCACCAGCACCCCAUGGCUUGAGAGUAGUUGGGGUGAGUGGUGGGUGAAAGUUGCCCACAACUUCUUUGCCACUCCUCCCGCUGAGAGGCAGAGUUUUUCCCCUCCCCUUGAACCGAGGCCAGCCUUAUGCCUUGUUUUGGCCCCCAAACAUGGUAGAUGUGACACCAUGUAAAGUCAAUGUCCACGUUCAAGGUCAGCGUGGGAGAGCAUUACCAAAGGGCGGGGAAGAAUAUGGGGCUAAUUUUGCAAUCCAUCCAUCACAGACGGAGAUCGCCGCCCAGCCUAGGGGAGGAGCGUCUCCUGGCCCCAUCUUCUCGGGGCCACACAUCCGAGCGAGCUGUGAGCUUAUGGAGAACAGGGCUGUGUCAUCGGCCUUAGGUGCCCAGCCACAGAUCUGAGAACCAGGCAGGAGCAAAGAAGAGUGUGGCUGCCAUGUGGAGAAGCUCAUGCAAGGGAGAAUCUUGGCCAAUACGCUCCGCCGGUCUCCCAGCCAGCACCCAGCACUACUGCCAGCUGCGUGGGUGAGCCGUCUAGGACAGUCCAGACGGCUGGGCCUCCAGACACUACAAGGAGCAGAAGAACCGCCCGGCGGAGCCUAGUCAGCACCCAGAACCGUGAGAAAUAACGGUCCUUGUUUGAAGUCAUGGAGUUUGGGGAGAGUUCGUUACAGAGCCACGGGGAGCUGACACAGAGCGUCUCCCCAGGUGAAAACCCGAAGGUUUUCCUGGAAAUUAAAUGAGUGGAUGCUAGACGGACAAUGCAGAGGAACCCACCACAGCCAUCUACUCUGUGUAGUCGACUUUGCCAGGCCACCGAUGGGCUCGAGAAGACGUGGAAUUUUCUGUGGCAGCAUUCCAGUGUCCACUCACAUUUUGUCCGUGUCCAGAGACAGUUGCUGCCGCAGCUGAGGCAGCAUCCUGAUUUCAAGCUCACAGCUCCAGCCAUGAGUUUUUAGACACAGCUGCUCUAUUGGUGGCUCCUGGCCUUCCCACAUGUGGCAAAGAAGGUGGCUCCCCAGCAAGUCAGGAUUGCAGGAUUCUGGGCGUCAUUCCUGGAGAUCCAGCCUAGAGUUUCCACAACGGCCCUCCUGUAAUGGGUUGGAUGGUAGCCUCCCAAAAGCUAUGUCCAUGUCCCAUUGCCUGGAACCUGUACGUGGGACCUUAUUUGGCAAAAAGAGGUUUUACAGAUGGAAUUAGGUUAAGGAUCUGGAGAUGAGAUUAUCCUGGAUGACCUUGGUAGGCCCUAAAUCCAAUGAUAGAUGCCCUUAGACAGAUGAGGAGAAAACAGAGAUCGGAGGACCAGGGCAAGACAGAGGCAGGGACAGGAGCAAUGCAGCGACAAAGCAUGCUGACAGCCGCCGGAAGCUGGAAGAGGUAGAGGAUUCUCCUGAGGGAGCGUGGCCCGACCUUGACUUCAGACUUCUGGCUUCCAGAACAGUGAGAGGAUUCACUCCUGUUGUGGUAAGCCAGCCAGUUCGUGGUCAUUUUGUUACAGUGGCUUCAGGGAACAACUGCCCCUUCCAGUGAUUCUGUAAGCACCAGCUUCCCUGUAUUAAAUCCCUUUCUGCUUAAAAUACCUGGAGCAGUCUCCAUUCCUUGCACUGGACCCUGAGUGGUACGAUGCGUUUCCCAUCCUGGCCAGGAAGACCAAGGAAGCCGGAAGGCAUAUUGGUGAGUAGAACCCAAGGACGUUUUUAGGUUUGAAGCUCAUAAAACGGUACCAUCCGUGGUUCCGCCGUCAGCCUCACAGGCAGGUGGGUUUCCACCAGUUCGGCAGAAGCACUGACGCCUGAUAGUCAUCUUCUGAUUGCCAGCAUGGCAGCAAGAGUUUGCUUUAAAUUUUUCAGCAGCCAGCACCCUCGGCUCACCUCUGCCAAGAGCCCACGACCUCGGCAGUCAGGGAACACAGAGCCAGAUGGGGCCCAGCAGUGCCCGCCUCUCUGUCCUUUAUCCUACAGAGUCCAAAAAGAGCUGGAAGGCACCAGAAUAGGAUGGAGAACCUUUAUCCCAAUGCCGGGAAGAGGUUCUGUCCACACUGUCUUCCUAAGGAGCAGGAAAUCUGCUUGCUCUGCUUUUUUCCUCCAAACUGAAAUUCUCCAUUUUCAUCAAGAUGUGUGUACGUGUCUGAAUCUGUUUCUGCGUGUGUGUGUGUGUGUGUGUGUGUGUGUGUGUGUGUGUGUGUGCAUUUCUGUGAGUUUGUGUUUGGGUGUAUGUGUAUUUUGAGUGUGUGUGUGUUUGUACGUAUUUAUGUGUGCGCGCCUAUUUAUAUGCGUGGGGAGAGGGCGAGUCGGGAGAAGGGCAGUGCCUGUGGUGACGGUUAAUACCGUGAACUUGAGCUAUUGUUUUCAUAAAUAGGACGCUGGAGAAGGUCCCUCGCUGCUCCUCGCCACCGCGCUGUUGAAAUGACAUGGCUAUGGAGGAAUCCUUUCGUUCUGCAAGCGUAACCACAGGAAUCAGGAUGAGCGAAUUCCGCUCCCUGGAAACCCCGGGUGGCAUCUGCUUUGUCCGUAGAGCUCCUAAGCCAGAGUACCAUAGCCUUUCAUGGCCUUCGUGUUGGGGAUCGAAAUAAAGCCCACGGAAUUCUCUGCUGGGAAAGGUGACGUCGCCAAAAUGCUGCUCAAUCCCAUUCCCUGUGGUGCCCGUGUGGAUGGGUAUUAAGCAUGCAUGUUGCACCUGGAGCCGUUCUGGCCACCAGCUUGACCCUUCUGUCUGUCAGUCCUGGCAGGAGUUUCUGUUGUGGCUCAGUGGGCUAGGAACCUGACUAGUAUCCACAAGGAUGUGGGAUUGAUCCCUGGCCUUGCUCAGUGGGUUAAGGAUCCAACAUUGCCAUGAGCCGUGGGAUAGGCCACAGAUGCAGCUUGGAUCUUGUGUUGCAGUGGCUGUGGUGUAGGCCAGUGGCUACAACUCCGAUUCGACCCUUAGCCUGGGAACUUUCAUGUGCUGCUGAUGCAGCCCUAAAAAGCAAAGAAAAGCAAAAACAAAAACACUGGCCAGGGCAGGGACAGGAGGCCCCGAAGCUGCUGGUGGCUCAGGCCAGCUGUGUCCCUCCUACCUUGGGCCCAGGUCUUUGGAAACGGGUCUUCCUGGCCAAGGCCCCCACCUGGGACAUGGGCUCCUGAAGGGCCUUCUGCUUCCGUGCUGCCUGCCUCAUCCCCUCACCACUACCGAAAGGACCAGAGGGCCACCAUGGUUUCAGCAUGCCUGCAGAAUCCUGACUUUGAAUCCCUCUCCUGGGGUGCGGGGCCCUGCUGCCAGCCACCCUUCUGCAUCCCCAGUGGUACAAUCCUCCAUCAGCCAGGCCACGCCGGGCCCCUGGCAUCUGCCCAGUUGGCUGUCCUAGCAUCUGCCACCGUGGCUGCUGAGGCUGAAGUGCCUGGAGCUUGGGGCCUGGCCACGCUCACCGUCCCAUCUGGAUGCCCCCCCCCCCCAGCCCUGGUUCCGACAGCUGCUUUGGCACCAGGCCCCUAUCAAACUUCAGCCUUCAGACCUCUUCAAGGCCCGGCCCACAGUCCAAGGUGCUCCCAGAAGGGUAGUGUUGCCUAGAAACCAUUGCCACCACGCUCCGAGCAUCGCCCAGGGCUAGGUAAGUGCCAUGACCCUGGGGCUCAGCCAGGUGAUGCAGCAAAGCCAGCGUUUGCACAUGGGUUCGGAGGAACAAAAGGCAAGAACAGGAGCUGAGGGGCGGGAGGGGCCCGGCCGGGGCAANCCCCGCCCCCGUCCCGUCCCGAAGACCCCCGGCCUCUCGCGAGAGGUGAUAACUAGUGGUGGUGCCGUCCGUUUUUGAGCGCUCAGUGUGUGCAAGGUGCUAGAAGAGCAUCUUCACACCAGACUUCACAGCCGCAUGGCUUGCCUGGGAAGGCCACAGCGGCUGGAGCUCUGCGAUGGCUUUCUCAGACCUGCUGGCCAGGCUCCCCCGCUUGAGGCUGGAUGAGUCUGGAGCGUGGUGACAAGCACAACCGAUUCCGUCCCUCCUCCCCACCUCGGCUCUGUCUCCGCUCGGGGGCCCCCUGGGCUCCAGCCCCUGCUUCCCUCCCUCCUUGAUGCUCAGAGCAUGAUGAUCGCCACCAGGGCCAGGGCUCCAGCAGCCUCUGUGCCAAUUCCUCUGCCAUGCAUCACGAGGGCUCUCUUGGAUGUCUGCGGCAAGAAACAAAUGUUUCCCCCCCUUUAGUAAAUCAUGUGAAACCUCACACACUGGGACAGCUGGUUAGAACACAAGCUACGACUCUCCUCCAAGGUGAGGACAUCGAAGGCACAAAAUGUAUGCAGAGCUGUGCACGGGCAGUGCUCAACCUGCCAGCUCAGCACAUCCUGGCUCCCCUCCCCGCGCCCCUCUACCUUGGGCUCCAAGCCAGCCGGGCCCGUGUCUCCCUCCCCAGCCCUUGAGGAAACAAGGUCGUCUUUCUGGCUGGUUACCUGGACACAAGGCAGGCUUGGCAGACACAGCUCCGUCAGGUGCCUCCCCGGUAUCUCAGCCUGAUGGGCCUCUCCUCUCUGAUUCUUGAGACCAGAAAUCUCACCAGCACAGCUCCUGCAUCAGAGUGGGGAAGACGAGGACAAUGGUGUAUAAAGCGAUGUUGGACUGUAGUCCAAUCGUGCUAUUGGACUCUUGUGUAGUCUCUGCUCUUCAGGAUGCUCCUUCUUCUCUGUGUCUUUAAGCUCCUAGACCCAGGCUCCCAACCUUUGAAACCGGCUCUUCGGAAUGCAUUUCAUGUGAGUCAUUUACACCUUAGUAUGAAUUUAAUAAUAAGUCUCUUAGGACGAUUUGCAUUCAAAUCUUUCUGGAUGGAAGCCACUCUGCAAUGAGAAAUUUGUCGCUAUUAACAGGGUUUUGACUCAAAAAUCUCAUAAGGCAGAGAGGCAUGGGGUGGAAGGGGGUAUGUUGGUUCUGCAGAUUGGGAAUCCUACAGCUUCAUCCAUCUGUCCUGUUUCCAAACUGUCUAGCCUACGUCAACUCCUUCCUUCCAUACUCGCUUACUCUCUCCAAGCUUAAAUUGAUCCUGGGGUUUGAGAGGUUUCGUUGACUCACUUUUGUGACUCAUGUAAGAAUCAUCAGAUUUCAGGUCUGGUGGGACCUUGAAGGUCAAAUAAUGCAAGUUUCUAAGAUGCUGUAACAAACUCAGAGAGAGGGAGAAGUGAGAUACCCAAGAUCCCGCAGCAAGUUAACAGCAAUGCGGGGACCAGACCCGGGAUCUCCUGGCUCCUAGCGAUGUCCUUUGCACCGAGACCCAGAAAUCAUGCUCAACCAAACACCGGCACUGUUUGCAAAGUGAAGUCCAGGCAGCAGGAGCUUUCUGUUUUGCCGAACCACAGAGCCUGGGCCAGGUCUGGCCCUUCCAGGGUUAAUGGCACAGGCAGGCUUUGUGUGGCCUGGGAAGAAUGUUCCUAGAAGCAUUUGGUCAAGGAGGCAUGGGGAGUUCUUAUGGCCACGGGGUCUCUGCAAGGUUUAGAGGCUGGAAAGAUCUGAGCAGAACUUGCUGUUUUCACCAUCCAGACAGACACCUGUCCUGAAUGUUGCAACAGGGCGGCUUUAGUUUUGUUGUCUAAGCAGCCCGGAGCCUCUCAUGCAUCUGAAGCAGAGGCAGCCUUUCUAGUUACUUCUUCCUCACCAGCCCACACAAGGCCCCCUCAUCUAUUGAGAUCAGCCUUGGCCUAAAUUUGCUCAGAAUUGAUCCCAGAAGUACAGGCUAAAGGCAGAGGGCCAGAGUCAGUCUGUGGUCUAGCAGAUCCACAGACGCUGGAAACAAACUACCUGGCUUCAAAUCUCCCCUCUGCCCCCUCCCAGCUCCGUGUCUUCGGGCUGUUUGCUUAACCUCUCCUGCCUCAGAAUCCUCCCUUGUCAGGUGGGGACCAUUCUGGCCCCCGGCUCCCGGGUUGCCGUGAGAGUUCCACGGAGUCAAUGCACGGAAAACCCUUAGAACUUAAACACUUAGAAAUGAUGCCUGCGCGUUGUGAGUGCUCACUUAAAAUUACCUGUAAUGUCUUUGGUGCCUCCUCUUAGAACCUCCCAGAUGUCUCUUCGCCUUUCCCCCUGAAACCAGGCACUCUCAGCUUUGGUUUAAAAGGUACAUUAAGGGAGCUCCUGUUGUGGCUCAGCAGCAGUGAACCUGGCUGGUAUCCAUGAGGAUGUGGGUUCGAUUCCUGGCCUCGCUCAGUGGGUUAAGGCUCCGACAUUGCCAUGAGCUGUGGUGUAGGUCGCAGAGGUGGCUCAGAUCUGGUGUUGCCGUGGUUGUGGUGCAGGCUGGCAGCUGCAGCUCCAAUUCAAUCCCUAGCCUGGGAACUUCAUAUGACACACGUGUGGCCCUAAAAAGCUAAAUAAUGUUAAGGAGUUCCCUGGUGGCCUAGCAGUUAAGGAUCUGGCACUGUCAUUGCUAUGGUUCGGGUUUGAUCAUUGUCACUGCUGUGGCGUGGGUUUGAUCCCUGGCCUGGGAACUCUCUCGUGCUGCAAAUACAGCCAAAAAAAAAAAAGGUACGUUAUAAAGGGGCCUCUGUGUGGAGUUCUCAUUGUGGUUCGUGGGUUAAGAAUCCGUCAUAGUGUCUGUGGCCUCACUCAGUGAUUAAGGAUCUGGCGUGGCUGUAGCUGUGGUGUAGUCUAGCGGCUGUAGCUCCGAUUCCACUCCGAGCCUGGGAACCUCCACAUGCUGCAGGUGUGGC
rnacentral:lncRNA from 1 species